UUUUCAGUUUGUUUAUGUGGUGGAUUACAUUGAUGGAUUGUUUUUUUUAUGUUGAACUAUCCCUACAUCCCUGGAAUGAAGCCUCCUUGAUCAUAUUGGGUGAUUUUUCUGAUGUGUUUUUGGACUGUAUUUGCCCGCAUUUUGUUUAGUAUAUUGAAUUCAUGUUUGUGAGGGAUAUUGGUCUGUAGUCUUCCUGAGCCUGCUCAGAACACAUAGGGACUACCCUGAAUCUGGCCACUAUUCACUCUUAGCACCCCUAUAUGCCCCCUGCCCUACACCCUCCACUUGAGUCUUGACCCCCCUUUGCCCUUCACUUGAGUGAGAAGAAUACAUAAAAACCUUAUGGAUUAAUAUGUAAAUAUAAAUAUACAGAUAUAUCUUAUUAUUUUAUAGUUUUAAUUUCUAUGAAAAUAGCAUAGUAGAAUUGACACAUUAAAAAAUAAACAUUAAAGGCUAUACCUCUUGUUGCCCUGAAAAAUUACCUGAUUUUUAUAUUCAUUUAACUGAAAUUUAAUAUUUAUAAAAUAUGCAAUGCAAAUUCUAUUAAUGAAAACCUUAAUAGAUUUUAAUGUAACUUUUCCAAGUAUUUAAUAAAUUUGGUAUACAGGUUUCUUCUUGUUCUUGAAUUCUAACAAGACAUUGCAGUUUUAAAUUCCUCUCUGAGCAAUUAGAGUUAUUCAGAUGAGUUUUAUAUUAUCAUUUUUGUAUUGCUAAUUUUGUGGUAUUAUAUUUAUUAAAUUCUCAAGUGAUUUUGCAGAGGUGGUAAACUAUGAAUGUUUCUGGUCACAUGGAAUUUAUUUGCAUAUCUGUUUGAUGUUAUUUAAAUUUUUCACAUAAGCAUAUUAGCUUUGGUUUGUUAAUUCUUCCUUUUAAAGUCCAUGCCAUUCAGGAUUUUUCUAUUGACUUAUUUCAUCAAUUAAAGUGUGAUGUGAUUUUGAUUAAAGAAUUAUGAUUUCACUUUAUUACCUUGCUAUCAUAAAACACAGAAAUAUUUGAUAAUUAUAUUGUUGUAGCAUGCCUGUGUCUGAACCAGGCUAUCCUAAUAAAAGAAACCAUGGACUUUGUGACAGUUUCAACAAAGAAAUUAGUUCUUGCCAAAGCUUCUUGGGUCAAAUGGAUUGUUUAAGACCAUGAGCAGCAUAAAUGCUAACUAGUAUCUUUCUGACACAAACAUGACAGUUGUCUACAUCUCUGCAUGAGACAUGUGCUCCCUUCCCCAGAACAUAUACUAAAAUUGUUUAUAUAACAGCUUUGACAGGGCCAGGCGUUGGUGGUGCAUGCCUAUAAUCCCAGCACUCGGAAGGCAGAGGCAGGCAGGUCUCUGUGAGUUCCAGGCCAGCCUGGUCUCCAGAGUGACUGCCAGGAUAGGUUCCAAACCUACACAGUGAAACCCUGUCUCAAAAAAAAAAAAUCUUUGACAGGAUGAUCCAUACCUCUGGCCACAUGAAAUUUUUUAUACAACAUGUCUGGCAUACUAGAAAGUGAAAUUGCUGUAUCUUCUUCCAGAAUACCUGAGAAUUGUAAAAUGGCAGUAAUAGAACCUUUGUACAAAUAAAAUUCUAUAAGUGCUUGGCUCUGUAAGACAGCAAAGCAAGCCUCUGAUGUUGUCACAUAUUGUGCCUUAACAUUUUGUGUGAUAUUGUUCAUAUAUUCCCUCUGAUUUCAAAGUGACCUUGAAAGAAGGAAGGCUCUCAAAUUGUUUUCCUUCCCAGUCAUAGAUUGUUCAACAUCAACAGUUAUUGCUGUAAAAGCCAGACUGAAAAAUACAAGUGAAGCAAUGUUAUCAUAAAAGCAGCUAAGUUUUAGACGCUUAGAUCUAUGUUUAGAAGGACUCUAUUUUAUAAUAUAACUGUAUGCAUAUCAUUAUAUUUCAUCAAAGUUUUCUUGAGAGCUAAAUGAGAUACUCUGUAAAAAUAGUGGCUGGUUUUACUUUGUUGUGUUAUAUAAUAAUAUAAAUUUAUUGUGAUGUUUCUUAGUUAUAUGAUCAGCUGUAUUUGUAUUCUUAUUGACAUUUGUAAUAUAACUCUUAUUUAUUUAUUUAUUUAUUUAUUUAUUUAUGGUUUUUUUGAGACAGGGUUUCUCUGUGGCUUUGGAGGCUGUCCUGGAACAAGCUCUUGUAGACCAGGCUGGUCUCAAACUCACAGAUAUUCACCUGCCUCUGCCUCCCAAGUGCUGGGAUUAAAUGUGUGUGCCACCAACGCUUGGCUCAUUUUUAUUUUUUUAUUUAUGUAGUGUUCUAGAAGUUUAUUUUAUAGAAGAUUGGAUAUUGAUUCUGCUGCUGAUGAUGAUGUAGAACUAUUUGUGUUAAAAUUUUCUAGACCUAAAAUAAAUUGACACUAAUUCUUGUUGGGAAAAUACACAGAUUAGUCUGUUGCAAUAGUGAUUUGUGAGGACUAUUGUUACAAUUUGAAUUUAUGUAUACCAUAAAAAUAACCUGUUCAUUUUCAAGUCUUUAGAAAUCUAUUGUCAUUUAAAGAAAUUACUGUAUAAUUUACUUUUAAAAAUGAAUACAAUAUAAUUUAUUGGUAAUUGUAAAGAUUUUUGUUAAAUUAGUUCAGCUUAUCCUGUUCUUUUCAUUUUCAAGUUGCUUAACCUAGCAUGUGUUCCUAUUAUAAAAGUAGCCUUGUAAUCUUAACUCAAAUGGUAGUCAUUUCAGUUAGAUUAACUUGCUACGGUGAUUUAAAGGGUAUUUUAUUACAAAUUAAUUUUCUUCUAUCAGCACUCAUAUUACUAAUUUAAGUUUGGUCAUACAGUAAUCAAUUAAAGUAAAGCAUGCUGUGUGAACACUAAACCUAACACAUUAACUUAAUCUAUUUUGGAUACUCCUGCUGUCUCCCAAAUCAUUUCUAUGGCUACAAUGUGAAAGUUAACCUUUUUAAUAGAAAAAAUAUCUUAUGAUUAUAAAGACUUUACUAAAUAAAUAUGAGAUUUAUGGAUAAUAAUAAUAUUUGGAUUUAGUUGUAUGUAUUAAGUGAUACGUCUUAAAUAAUAAAGGAAUAUACAAUAGAAAAAACUAAACACAGAAAACCAUGUGUGAAAUUAUAGCAAAAACAGACAUAUAAAAUGAGAAUCUAUGACUGAUUGUUCAAUAAAAACAAAAGAUUUCAUUGACUCAAUGAUACACUGAGAAAAAUGAACAGGAAAACUACUUAUGAGAACUUCAGGGUAAACAGUAUUAUAUCUAAAUAUCAUGUUUUUCUUGGGGGAUGAAAAGUUUUCCUAUAUCUCUAGUAAACAUUUGUCAAAACCUUAAUAAAAAAUAAAAAAAAAUGGAGACACUGAGACAAUAUUAUUUGGAAUCCCUGGAGUCUCUACUAAUUGCCUUAAAGCUGUAAGCUAAACAUGACCUUUCAAACUGUACUAUUAUUUCAUGAAAUUUAACUUGUGCCCCAAUAGGACUGUUGUGCUCCCUUUGCUUUUGGAAAUGACACUUUCAGCAUUCUGGUUCUAGACAAGAAUGUUUUGAUAUAACACACAAGAUUAGCUUGGGAUAAUCAGUACAGAAAAUUCAGUGCAUAAGUGGGACAUACGGGACUUUGGUUCACAAGUUGUCCUCCAAGCUCCAAGUUGAGUCAGUAACAAGGGCAGUGGGAUGGCAGGGAGGAAUUGGAUACUUGGAGCUUCCCAACUUGACAACACAUUAUAACUACUAUAACAGGGUAAAAACAAAACAGCACUGCCCCAACUUCCCUGAACUACUGUGGGGUUCUUCCUUUGAUCAUUCACAGCAUAUGACUCAUCAAGAUCUUCCCCUGAGGACCUUAACUGUGGUAUAUUUGUCAAUAUCAUACAAAGACCUUUUCUUUCAUACCAUGUAGUAAGUUCUUUCUCUCCAUUUUUAUAGCCUCCCUGGACUUAAAAUGGUGUGAGAUGGAAAGAUGGUUGGUAUUGGAGUGGUAGAGAACUGUUUUCACUACAACUUCAAAGGUGAUACUACUACACUGGCUGGGUUUAUGUAGAUAGUAUGUAUUUUUCUGACAACUCACAUGAAAAUAAAGAUAAAUAAAUGUACAGAUAGUAUUUUUGAUGUGACUCAGGGCUGAAUCAUUGGACUAUAUCCAAAAUAUGCAACACUGUGGACCAUAAUGUUCUACUUGCUCUUUUGCUAGCUUUUUUUCAACUUCAGCUGAGUUCUUCAAGCCCAAUCAGUGACUCUAGCAAUUCCAGACUUGAUAUUAUUUUCUUUUACUUGAAAACAAAAGUUUUGAUUGAACUGUACUGACACUUAUUUUUGAGACUGGAAGAAUUUACAGCACUGAACAUCUCCCUGCAAAUUUUUCUCCCUUCCAUAAUUACUUUAUGCAUAAGAUGAAUAAUUUAAUUAGACUUUUUCAUUCCUAUCACAAUUCUCCCCUCAUCCAUAACUCAGCAUAAAACUCUAGGAAUUUAAUAUAUUUUGGAGAAAUAAUCUUCUAUUUUUCUUAAUUCAAACUUAUUAUUUUUAUCAUAAACUUGUAUGAUGUUCUGAUUCUUCAUCUUGAGUGACAUUUUAGGCACUUGAAGAUAUCAUACUAAUUCUAAUGGGUAUGUUCACUGUCUACAAUGUAAAUCAUAAGGUAAAACAUUAUGGGGACUAUAAUAAAAUAUUUGAGGGGUUAAGUAAAGAUAAUAUAUCAGGGUGAUCUAGUUUAGAAAAGGACAGCCAAAAUGUCAGUGACUGCUUUCCAAAGAAAGUGCUAUCUCUGCAAGAUUCAAGAUUCAUUAGUAGCUUCAGUGGACUAUAUAAGCAUUGAAGAAUCCUUGCCUUCUCUUAUGACGAUGAUUCUGUCAAUUACUCCAUUUACAAUGAAAUCCAUAUUACUAGACAAUGUCCCUAUUCUUUUUCUACAGCUCCAUUGAGUAUUUAUUGACACAGGAAAUUGCACAUUUUUCAGGGGUUAUAGUGGUGAGUUUUGUGUCGAUUUGAAAGAAGCUGGAGUCAUAUUGAAAGAGAGAACUUCAAUUGAGAAAAUUCCCUCACCAGAUUGACCAAUGGAGAAGUCUGUUAUGAAUUUUCUUGAUUCUGGAUUGAUUUGGACAUGUCCUGAUCACUCAGAGUUGGCAUUUCUACUGUGCAAUGGCAAGCUGAACAAGCCUUGAAGAUCAAGUUAGAAAGCCGCCAUCUUUCCAUAGCCUCUGCCCAAGUUGUUCCAUUCAUUUGCCUGUAAAUUUCAUGAUGCAUUUUUCCCCUGAACUAUCUUCAUAGAAUCUUCAUCCAGAAACUGAUGGAAACAGAUGCAGAGAUCCACAGCUUAGCACUGGGCCAAGCUCCCAGGAGAAGUGAUAAUAUGAGCAAAGGGAUCAAGACUAUUUGGGGGAUACCCACAGAAACAUCUGACCUGAGCUAUUGAGAGCUCAUUGACCUGCACUGAAAGGAACCUGCAUAGGAGGACUAAACUAGGCCCUUUGAAUGAUUUUUCUUAUUUGAAACAAACAAGAUUGUUUUACACGUCAAUCCCAGUUCCCUCUACAUCCCCCCUCUACUGUUAACCCCCCAAUUAAAACCUUACCUAUCACAUAUCCUUUCAGCUCCCCAGGGAGGGUGAGGCCUUGCAUAGGGAAUCAUCAGAGUCUAUAUAUCCUUUGGGAUAGGGCCUAGGCCCACACGCGUAUCUUGGCUCAAGGAGUAUCCCUUUAUGUGGAAUGGGCUCCCAAAGUCCGCACCUAUGCUAGAGAUCAGUACUUAGCGAUCUACUACAGGAGGCCCCAUAGAUUUCCGAGGUCUCCUCACUGAAACACACGUUCAAGGGUUUCUGGGGUCCAGAUCAGUCCCAUGCUGGUUUCCCAGCUAUCAGUCUGGAGAUCAAGAACCCUCCUUUGUUUAGGUCAGCUGUUUAUGUGGAUUCACCAGCUUG